UACGUAGGGUGCAAGCGUUGUCCGGAAUUAUUGGGCGUAAAGAGCUCGUAGGCGGUCUGUUGCGUCGGCUGUGAAAACCUGGGGCUCAACCCCGGGCCUGCAGCCGAUACGGGCAGACUAGAAUUCGGCAGGGGGAGACUGGAAUUCCUGGUGUAGCGGUGAAAUGCGCAGAUAUCAGGAGGAACACCGGUGGCGAAGGCGGGGUCUCUGGGCCGAUAUUGACGCUGAGGAGCGAAAAGCGUGGGGGAGCGAACAGG
rnacentral:rRNA from 1 species